rnacentral:rRNA from 1 species
UACGUAGGGGGCAAGCGUUAUCCGGAUUUACCGGGUGUAAAGGGAGCGUAGGUGGUAUGGCAAGUCAGAAGUGAAAUGCGGGGGCUCAACCCCUGAACUGCUUUUGAAACUGUCAAACUAGAGUGCUGGAGAGGUAAGUGGAAUUCCUAGUGUAGCGGUGAAAUGCGUAGAUAUUAGGAGGAACACCAGUGGCGAAGGCGGCUUACUGGACAGUAACUGACACCGAGGCUCGAAAGCGUGGGUAGUAAAC